rnacentral:rRNA from 1 species
GACGAACGCUGGCGGCGUGCCUAAUACAUGCAAGUCGAGCGCAGGAAACUGACGGAACUCUUCGGAGGGAAGGCAGUGGAAUGAGCGGCGGACGGGUGAGUAACACGUAAGGAACCUGCCUCAAGGAUUGGGAUAACUCCGAGAAAUCGGAGCUAAUACCGGAUAGUUCAACGGACCGCAUGGUCCGCUGAUGAAAGGCGCUCCGGCGUCACCUUGAGAUGGCCUUGCGGUGCAUUAGCUAGUUGGUGGGAUAACGGCCCACCAAGGCGACGAUGCAUAGCGGACCUGAGAGGGUGAUCGGCGACACGGGGACUGAGACACGGCCCAGACUCCUACGGGAGGCAGCAGUAGGGAAUCUUCCACAAUGGACGAAAGUCUGAUGGAGCAACGCCGCGUGAGUGAUGAAGGUUUUCGGAUCGUAAAACUCUGUUGUAAGGGAAGAACACGUACGAGAGGGAAUGCUCGUACCUUGACGGUGCCUUACGAGAAAGCCACGGCUAACUACGUGCCAGCCGCCGCAGUAAUAC